rfam:Branchiostoma floridae genomic scaffold BRAFLscaffold_228, whole genome shotgun sequence.
ACUGCCCUCCGAGGCGUUGCAUCUCAGCUGAACAGUGCAGAUGGUGUGUCAUGGAGUGGCAAAGAUGAACUGGACAUGUUUUGUACAAACUUUGCCUUCAUUUGGCAGGAGAGUAGAAAACUGCCUCACACU